rnacentral:tRNA from 2 species
GCCGAAGUGGCGGAACUGGCAGACGCGCUAGGUUCAGGACCUAGUGAGCAUUGCGCUCGUCCGGGUUCGACUCCCGGCUUCGGCA